rnacentral:misc_RNA from 1 species
UGGUUCUGGCAUCGAUGAAGAACGCAGCGAAAUGCGAUAAGUAAUGUGAAUUGCAGAAUUCAGUGAAUCAUCGAAUCUUUGGACGCACAUUGCGCCCGCCAGUAUUCUGGCGGGCAUGCCUGUUCGAGCGUCAUUUCAACCCUCAAGCCCCCCCGGGAGCUUGGUGUUGGGGAUCGGCCCGCCCCUAGCGGCGCGCCGGCCCCGAAAUCUAGUGGCGGUCUCGCUGUAGCUUCCUCUGCGUAGUAGCACACCUCGCACCGGAACGCGGCGCGGCCACGCCGUUAAACCCCCCACUUCUGAAGGUUGACCUCGGAUCAGGUAGGAAUACCCGCUGA